rnacentral:lncRNA from 1 species
GAAUCGGAGCUGUAGCCACCGGCCUACGCCAGAGCCACAGCAACGCGGGAUCCGAGCCGCGUCUGCAACCUACACCACAGCUCACGGCAACGCCGGAUCGUUAACCCACUGAGCAAGGGCAGGGAUCGAACCCGCAACCUCAUGGUUCCUAGUCGGAUUCGUUAACCACUGCGCCACGAUGGGAACUCCUGAUUGACAUUUUUAAAUAAAAGAGGAGACAAUUAAAAUUUUAUUCUUGAGAGUUCCCAUUGUGGCUCAUUGGGUUAAGAACCCGACUAGUAUCCAUGAGGAUUUGAGUUUGAUCCCUGGCCUUGCUUAGUGGGUUAACGACCCAGCUCGGAUCCCGCGUUGCUGUGGCUGUGGUGUCGGCUGGUAGCUGCAGCUCCAGCUCUGAUUCAACCCUACCCUGGAAACUUCCACAUGCCGCAGGUGCAGCCCUAAAAAGAAAAAGCUUUUUUCACUCUUGCAGUGGCUUUGCCCUGGAUCUGGCCUCCAGGAGUGCAUGUCUAAAUCCCCUCUGCCAUAUUUGAGAUGGAAAAGUUAGAGAAGCACUGCCUGAAAAAAAUAGGAAAAACAAAACAGUGCAUACAAUUGGCUGGUAUGCUCUCUUCAGGAAUUUCCCCCGCUCUUGCCUUAGUCUUGAGCUGCCACCGAGUUGAGCUGUCCUUGGCAAAGUGAUAAAUUAGGGAUGCUUCCUUUCAGUACCUGAUGUCUUAAAAGUACCUAAUUGAAUAGCAGAUGAGUUGAAGGAACUUGCAGGUCUGGAUAAUGAAUUGCCAUUUACAGAAGGACGAAACCUAAAAGAUCCUGUACCUUUUCCAAGGGUUUUCAUUACUUCCAUUUCAUCCUCAUAAGAGCCUGGUAUUCCUCCAGGCAGGACUGUCAGGGUGUUUCUGAGACUUCUCCUGGGACCAGGGUUGCGACAUUGACCAGCCCUCCCUGGGGGAGGUCUUCUCCGUCCAGGUCCAGUGUUUUUCAACGGCAAGUCACCUCUGUCAGUGGAUUGAACUGGCAUGUUUUCUAAUGAAAUGAAACAAAAUAGAAACUAUCAGGAUGUGUGGCAUAUAACAAGCUUACACAGCAUCAGGUAACACUCUGGUUGUAGUUGUUCAUUGUGCACUGCUAUUAAUUAUAUUUCUUUCUGUGCAUCUUUUCUUUCUUUCUUUCUUUUUUAAUCCUUUUUUAGGGCCACACCCAUGGCAUAUAGAGGUUCCCAGGCUAGGUGUCGAAUUGAGGCUACUGCUGCCAGCCUAUGCCAUAGCCACUGAGCAAGGCCAGGGAUCAAACCUGCGUCUUCAUGGAUUCCAGUCAGAUUCGUUUCCGCUGAGCCACGACAGGCACUCCCUUCCUGUGCUUCUUAAUUGUCUCAAGAGACAUUGUUUGGGACCCUCUUGGAGGAACUUCUCCUUACCUCACUUCUGUUCACCUGUCUGCUUUGUCCUUUCUGUGGUGGAGUUUGCUCCAGGUCAGCCAGUUACAGCAAAUGGCUGUGCUGGAGGUUGCUGAUGGCUGACUCUGUCUAUGAAGAAAGGCAGUGGGCCGUCUGGGUUAAAUAACAAGAUCCACCAAAGGCCUGGCGUCUGUCCCCGUCUUCACUGAGAGGAGCUGUGGUUCAGUAGCACCUCGAGAGCUUCGCGGAAUCGCAAGGCAGGUGGCAGAGAGCCAGUGUUUCCUUAAGGCUGGUGGGGGUGGGGGGAGCCUUCACCUCUGGGUCUGGUGGGGAGCGUGUGGGGACCCGCCUGCGCUCACAUGGCCCUUUUUGUUCUCUGAGACCAGCAGGAGAGGCCUGGGAGAUGGGACGGUAACUUGAACAGAGCAAGUGAAAGGCACAGAAUUGAGGGUCCUCAGAGUUGGCAGCUCCUAAGCUCAAUGUGUGCUGGGGGCGAGGGGAGCGCGCGUGGGGGAGCCAGCUCCUUGGACAGGCCGCUUGAGCUCCUAACAGGCGGCACUUCAGAUGCCUGGUCCCCUGCCAGGCACGUCUCUUUUGUAAUCUCAUGUCAUCCUCACAUUGUCGUCCUCCCACGGUGUCAUGGUGGCCUGACAGAAUCCCCUCUGUCAACCCCAUCCCCUGGUGCCACCCCCUCUCGCCUGAUGUUGAGAUCCGAGGCCUCCGACCGCAGGUGUGCCCUGCGCUGCAGGCGGUGACCUGGUCGUCCUCUCUGCAUCCAUCCUCCUCGACUGUUUCAUGGCCGCUCUCCCUUCAGACUCUAACAUCCCCUCUGUCUUCCUGCCUCCCAAGCCGAUGACAUUCUUCCUAUGUCACUGAGAACCAGCAACAGCCAGCUGAGAACUUGCGCAGACUCUGGCCAUCCCGUGGGGCCCUGAGCGGGACCAGCCCGGCUGACAGCUCCCCCUGGGAGGCUCAGCAUCCCCUCUUUUCCCUUCCUCCCCCUGGUCUGUUUUCCCCGGUAGCACAAACAUUCUAUCACUGCCUUAAAAACAGGCAGCACAAAACUCCUGCCCUCCUAUCCCCGUCUAAUUCUGCCUGUUUCAUAGUGAUGGAGGUGAUGAUGAUACAGACAUUUACGUAGUGUUUAGCAUCGACCAGGCACUAUUCUCCUAUGUCAGUUCUUUCGGGGAUUGUCACCCCCGUUUUUCAGAUGAGAAGUCAGAGGCUCGGAUUAAGGCCCUUGCCUGAGGUCGAAGGACUGAUAGGUGGCAGAACGGGGAUUGCAGCACAGACACUCCGUCCUGCCUUGAGAAGCGUUGCUGACCGGUGGCCUCCGGUCUCCAAUCCGCUCCCUCCUGCUCUGGGACCUGCUCAGAUCCGGGCCCCUCCCUACCUCACCACGCAGAUUCUCCUCUCAAGUCACCCAUCUCCUGCACACGACCAAACCUAGUGCGCGGCUCCUUCCUCCUGGAACUCUCUGUGCCCUUGCUUCCCUGAUGCCGUCCUCUUGUGGUUUUCUUCCUUUCACACCUUUUUAGUCUCUUUUACUGGUUCCCCUUUGAUUGUCCAAGAUCUAAGCGUUGGAUUGCAUGGGUCCUUCCCUGCCCAGCAGCUGGAGGGGCUGCUGACAGCCCCGUCUCCAGCCCAGCUCUCUCCUUGAGGCACGGCUCAUGCAUGCAGCUGCUCGCCUAGGGUCGUUACAGGACGGCUUAUCUUCCCGAGGCCCCUUCAGGGCGCCUCCCUUCCUGCUUCGCCAAAGAGACCGAGUCUUUUUUUGUUUGUUUGUUUUGUUUUUUUUUUUUUUGCACACUGCAUUUCGGUCUGCUGGUGGAUCAUGUUGGCUCUCAAUUCCAAGGGCACUCAGUACCUGACCACUUUUCCCCCCAUCUGCCCCUGCCCGGGAGCAAGCCACCAGGUCCCUCCUGGAGAGCUCUUGGCACCUCCAGCAGUCUCCUGGCCUGCAGCGAUGCCCUGGGUGGGCAGUCAUCUAGCCGUGCUCUUCCGCAGCCCAAGCAGAGCCCUCCAGGGGCCUCCAUCUCACACAGGUCACUUCCUCACCUCCUUUGAGUCUCUUGUCUGGUGCCACUUUCUCAUAAAGCCUUCCUCGACUGGCUUCUCAAAAUGUGCAGCCUGUGUCCCCCGCCCCCUUGUUUUCUUGCACCUCCUGGCCUCAUCUGACACGUGUGCAUUCAUUUGGUGGUUGUCUGUCUCCCACAUUCCCUGUAAACUGCCUGGAAUCAGCAUUUUGCCUGUCCUGCUCACAGCUGUAUCCCCAAUAUGCACCGACGUGUCAUAGAUGCUCAAAAAGUAUUUGAAUGCUAGGUAUGUUUAUCCCUGUUUUGCAGAUUGAGUAAUCGAAGGUCUGAGGGGUUAAGCUGCUUGCCACAGACCCCGAAGUGCGAGGAUAUGGAUUAAAAUUCAGACACGAGCUUAAUUGCUCUGUAUGCUCCUCUUUCUUUCUAUCUCUCUCCUUCCUUCCUUCUGUCUUUUUGGAGGCACUCGCAGCAUGUGGAAGUUCCCAGGCCGGGGAUCGCACCCGUGCCGCAGCAGUGACCCAGGCCCCUGCAGUGACAACACUGGAUUCUUACGCUGCUGCACCACAAGAGAACUCCUUUAUGCUCCCUUUUCUUGUUAAAAAGGACAGUAAUAGGUAAGACGCAGAUUUGCCAUGAGGAGGACAUGAAUACUGCACAGGAAAACACUUUGCGGGAAUGUUACUUAUUCAAUUUAUUGAGAACCUUAGCUUUUUGUGUCUGUUUUAUUCCACAACCCGCCUGAAAGUUCUUUUGUGUUCUCGGGUUUUUAUUUAGGAGUAGCUGACACUGUCCCACCAAACUGCAGGAGAAGCCUGCGUGUGUGUUUGUGUCUCUCUGUGGCUCUGAUCUUCCCCACAGGCCGUCCGGUCCAGAGCCCCCCUGAUGUCAGCCGCAGGGCGCAGGAGCCAGGAGCCGAGGAGGUCCUGCGCCUUGACCACACAAGCGUGGCCCUUCCUCCAGACCCCCGCUCCGGACGCGCCCACCUAGCGUCUCCCAGGAACCAUGCGGCAGCUCAAGGGGAAGCCCAAGAAGGAGACGUCCAAGGACAAGAAGGAGCGGAAGCAGGCCAUGCAGGAGGCCCGGCAGCAGAUCACCACCGUGGUGCUGCCCACGCUGGCCGUGGUCGUGGUCCUGAUCGUGGUGUUUGUGUACGUGGCCACGCGCCCCACCAUCACCGAGUGAGGGCCCGCCCCGAGGGAGGAGGCUCGGGAGGGGAGAGCAGAAGAAGGGCCUUCAUCCGCUGCGAUUUUCCUGAUGCCGAGCUCUGAGCAGGAGCCCCCGUCUCCUCUGGUCUGUGACUUGAUUAAAGGUUCUCCACUUUUCUCGGGAGGGAAUAGGAAACGUUUUAUCAGUGAACGUGCCAUACACCUUAUGGUCCACUUCAUGUGCCUUUCAGACUUCAAAGCCGUGUGUGUGUGUGUGUGUGUGUGUGUGUGUGUUUCUCGCCUGCAAUCGAUGUGUAGCCCCACCUGGUGAGAGGAGGCGUCUCUGGGUCACGGAUCAGUUGGAAUCAGUGCUCACCCCAUCCCCGUUGUUUUGAACAUGACUUUCCUACACGUGUUCACAAUUUCCAAAGGGACUGUGUUUCUUCUCUGUGCUUCAUGUGAUUUGAAAUAUGUCGACUCAAAAGUGAAAUAUUUAUUUUUUGAAUAAAGGAGAUGAUAGCCUUAAA